rnacentral:rRNA from 1 species
UGGGGAAUAUUGGGCAAUGGGGGAAACCCUGACCCAGCGACGCCGCGUGAGGGAAGAAGGUUUUCGGAUUGUAAACCUCUGUCCCCGGUGAAGAAAAUGACGGUAACCGGGGAGGAAGCCACGGCUAACUACGUGCCAGCAGCCGCGGUAAUACGUAGGUGGCAAGCGUUGUCCGGAAUUACUGGGUGUAAAGGGAGCGUAGGCGGGGUUAUAAGUUGAAUGUGAAAUCUCCGGGCUCAACUCGGAGCGCGCGUUCAAAACUGUAAUUCUUGAGUGAAGUAGAGGUAGGCGGAAUUCCUAGUGUAGCGGUGAAAUGCGUAGAUAUUAGGAGGAACACCAGUGGCGAAGGCGGCUUACUGGGCUUUAACUGACGCUGAGGCUCGAAAGCGUGGGGAGCAAACA